rnacentral:lncRNA from 1 species
AGACAGAGAAUCACUCACUGAGAUGACUGGGAGAGCGAGGCUGCGUGUUUCUUGUUCCUAAUGCCCCGUGGAUGUUCAGACACAUCAAAAAGUGCAGAAAUAGCAUGAGAAAUGUGAAUGGGCUGUAAACGGGGGUUAGAGGAAUCAGCUGCACUGUCAUAUGAACAUAAUAUCCAUUCUUGAAAAGAGGCGACUCUUUGGCCUUCAGAUCAAUUUUGCCUUAAAAUUGAAGGAACCUUUGAAAACGCUUUGAAGCAUUCACUUCUAGGCCUUCAUCCAGACCAACAAGGCCUCUUAUAAUAAGUAGCCUUUAUUCUCCACUUCUCAAAACAGAGCUUCAGGGAGGGUGUGCAGUUUGACCCACAUACAUCUUCUUCCUCUUCCUUCUCUCUAUGGAUAAUUUCCCAGACUCCAAAGAAGGCUGGAGAAGCUGCCUGGCCACAGCUCUGCCCUCCUGCUGUGAGAGUCCAGUUUCCAGAACUCCCUGGAGGAUUCACGAGCCUCAGACAAUGAAGUGCCUCAUCUGGAGAGAAAGGAGGAGCACAGGGGUCACCAGAGUCCAUCUGGCUGCAGUGACCUUGGAGUGA